rnacentral:rRNA from 1 species
UACCAGAACCCCGAGUGGUCGGGACGUUUAUUGGGCCCAAAGCAUCCGUAGCCGGUUCUACAAGUCUUCCGUUAAAUCCAACUGCUUAACAGGUGGGCUGCGGAAGAUACUAUAGAGCUAGGAGGCGGGAGAGGCAAGCGGUACUCGAUGGGUAGGGGUAAAAUCCGUUGAUCCAUUGAAGACCACCAGUGGCGAAGGCGGCUUGCCAGAACGCGCUCGACGGUGAGGGAUGAAAGCUGGGGGAGCAAACCGG